rnacentral:rRNA from 1 species
UACGUAGGGUGCAAGCGUUAAUCGGAAUUACUGGGCGUAAAGCGUGCGCAGGCGGCUUUGCAAGACAGAUGUGAAAUCCCCGGGCUUAACCUGGGAACUGCAUUUGUGACUGCAUGGCUGGAGUGUGGCAGAGGGGGAUGGAAUUCCGGCGUGUAGCAGUGAAAUGCGUAGAUAUGCGGAGGAACACCGAUGGCGGAAGGCAAUCCCCUGGGCCUGCACUGACGCUCAUGCACGAAAGCGUGGGGAGCAAACAGG